rnacentral:rRNA from 1 species
AGAGUUUGAUCAUGGCUCAGAAUGAACGCUGGCGGCAUGCCUAACACAUGCAAGUCGAACGAAGGCUUCGGCCUUAGUGGCGCACGGGUGCGUAACGCGUGGGAAUCUGCCCUCAGGUUCGGAAUAACAGCGAGAAAUUGCUGCUAAUACCGGAUGAUAUCGCGAGAUCAAAGAUUUAUCGCCUGAGGAUGAGCCCGCGUAGGAUUAGCUAGUUGGUGUGGUAAAGGCGCACCAAGGCGACGAUCCUUAGCUGGUCUGAGAGGAUGAUCAGCCACACUGGGACUGAGACACGGCCCAGACUCCUACGGGAGGCAGCAGUGGGGAAUAUUGGACAAUGGGCGCAAGCCUGAUCCAGCCAUGCCGCGUGAGUGAAGAAGGCCUUCGGGUUGUAAAGCUCUUUCAGGUGGAAAGAAAACGCAUGGGUCAAUACCCUGUGUGGAUGACGGUACCAUCAGAAGAAGCACCGGCUAACUACGUGCCAGCAGCCGCGGUAAUA